GUUUGAAGUAGGUGUUUCAUAAUAAUGGUAUUAAAAACUAUUGUACUGCCCAUGAUACUGUAUUGGUUAUCCCUUUAAUUGCACAUGGUAUUUAAGUGAAAAUUGAGAGGUCUACUAUAAAUAAUAUGAGGAAUAACGAAGUAAAUUAUUACAAUAAAUUUAAAAAUAUUUUUCUUUAAUAAUCUUUAAUAGAGUUAUGUAGUUUUACGUGUUCGUUAGGGUUUCUAUAAUGAGCGCAUUUAUAGGUCUCAACACCAGUGCGGAGUAUUAAUAUAUUAUAGAAAUAUAGAAUAAGUAAUAGGGAAAGAGAGCUGAUAAAUAAAGUGCCAGCAUUCGCGGUCAGUCUUUUUGUCUCCAAUCAAUAAGUUUCAUAUAUUAGUAACAUAAUAAUAAAAACAGGUAUUUUCUAUGAGUAACGGUAAAAUGUAACUGUUAAUAAAAGUGAGUAAAUCUCGUUAUAUUAUAAGUAUAAGAAUUAAGAUAGUUUUAAAAAUAAAAUCUAUUAAGGCUGCCUAGUAGAGACAGGGAUUUGUACCCCAGUAUUUAAGCUUUCUUUUAUUAUAUGGGUACUACGAGCAAACUUGCUUAAAAACCAAAGAGGUUGGCGGUGUUUCAAAUCCGGUUAGGGGAACUUGGCGAUUAAUUCGAUGAUCCUCGAGCAUUUCACCUUUAGUAUUCUUUGCAUACCGCCGUUGAGACAAGCUUUAGGGGGUAAAGAACUUUAACUUAAUAUAUGUGGUUAAUUGUUUAUAAAUAAGUCAAAAUUUUGAGAAUUAACACCUAUAAAAAUUCAGGUAAACGUGUAGGUUCUAAAGGGUUUAGCUGAGUUACAUUAUUUCAGAUUUAGCGGAUAGGUGUAGUAAUAAUGCCAUUGAAGUUGUACUUGUUAGUAAAAUUUUCAAUAGAGGAAAUUAGAAUAGAGUUAUGAGACGCGUACAAAUCGCCCGGCGCCCUCGAAUAGUUAAGUUGAGGUAAGUCGUAACAUAGUAAUGCUAGUAGAAACUGGUGUUAAGUAAUUUAUUUUAA
rnacentral:rRNA from 1 species